GAUGAACGCUGGCGGCGUGCCUAAUACAUGCAAGUCGAGCGAACAGACGAGGAGCUUGCUCCUCUGACGUUAGCGGCGGACGGGUGAGUAACACGUGGAUAACCUACCUAUAAGACUGGGAUAACUUCGGGAAACCGGAGCUAAUACCGGAUAAUAUAUUGAACCGCAUGGUUCAAUAGUGAAAGACGGUUUUGCUGUCACUUAUAGAUGGAUCUGCGCCGCAUUAGCUAGUUGGUAAGGUAACGGCUUACCAAGGCGACGAUGCGUAGCCGACGUGUGAGAGUGAUCGGCCACACUGGAGCUGAGACGCGGUCCAGACUCCUACGGGAGGCAGCAGUAGGGAAUCUUCCGCAAUAGGCGAAAGCCUGACGGAGCAGCGCCGCGUGAGUGAUGAAGGUCUUCGGAUCGUAAAACUCUGUUAUUAGGGAAGAACAAAUGUGUAAGUAACUGUGCACGUCUUGACGGUACCUAAUCAGAAAGCCACGGCUAACUACGUG
rnacentral:rRNA from 1 species